CCCUGUCUGUUGAAGAAGGUAGCUCAAUGGUAGAGCAUUUGACUGCAGAUCAAGCUUUUCUUACCCCCUCUUUGGGGGGAAAGGAGGAAUAAAUCGUAUCCGGGUGUUAUAACCCCCUACAUAUAGAGAAUAGGGAUGCAAGUGACGCUGUGGUCUCUAAACCACUGAGCCUCUUGGGCUUGCCGGUCAGAAGGUCGGCGGUUCGAAUCCCUGCGACGGGGU